CCUUCGGGUUGUAAACCCCUUUCACCAGGGACGAAGCGAAAGUGACGGUACCUGCAGAAGAAGCGCCGGCUAACUACGUGCCAGCAGCCGCGGUAACACGUAGGGCGCAAGCGUUGUCCGGAAUUAUUGGGCGUAAAGAGCUCGUAGGCGGUCUGUUGCGUCCGCUGUGAAAACUUGGGGCUUAACCCCGGGCCUGCAGUGGAUACGGGCAGACUAGAGGUAGGUAGGGGAGAAUGGAAUUCCCGGUGUAGCGGUGAAAUGCGCAGAUAUCGGGAGGAACACCGGUGGCGAAGGCGGUUCUCUGGGCCUUACCUGACGCUGAGGAGCGAAAGCGUGGGGAGCGAACAGGAUUAGAUACCCUGGUAGUCCACGCCGUAAACGUUGGGCGCUAGGUGUGGGAUCCUUCCACGGAUUCCUU
rnacentral:rRNA from 1 species